rnacentral:piRNA from 1 species
CAGCAUGUGACGACCGAGAAAUG